CCCCAACCUGGGGGUGUUGGGGAAAUGACAUGGAAACUGCACAUGUGAGUUUGUGGCUCAGUGGAGACUUGGGUGAAAUAACUGGUUAAUUACUAGGUCCUGGGGUGCGUCACAAAACCCAGAAGCCUUCCCCAGAAUUGAUGAGCCACCCAGGGCCUUUCCUUUCUUUCUUUUCUUUUUUUUUGGGAGCGGAAGUCUUGCUAUGUUGCCCAGCCUGGUCUCGAACUCCUGGCCUCAAGUGAUCCUCUAGCCUCAGCCUCCCAAAGCACUGGGAUUACAGGUGUGUGCCAUGGCAACUGACUCUGACAACCAAGCUCUAUGAAUGAACAGCAGCGACACUCCUGCUGAGACCACCCAGACUUGGCCUCCCUCGAGCAUCCAGUGAACCCUCUGGAGCACAGAACAUCUAAGGAAGAAGACUUUGGAGGAGGAGGGGAGAGUGCAGGGACCACCUCUUCCUCACCCAGCUGAGCAGGUCACCCUUCCUCUUGGUCAGCCCGCACAGAUCAGGGAGAGGGCUGAAGGAGGCUGCCCCAUGGCCUGCAGACCAGACACUUGCAAAGGGGAGAAAAGCAAAGGCACGGGGUGAUGCAGCAGGGCUGAAGCCGAGUCCUGCUCUUCCUGCUCCAGCAGCAAAGUGGACCCCUCCCAUCAAUGCAGUGGGUGUCAGUGGGUACAAAACACAGCCUUCCCCACCUAGGAGCUGGGCCACAAGUCAGAUGGGCUCAUUUGUGGCAUCAGCUUGAAACUCCAUCAGAAUCUCAAUUUCUCUCCUGCAUCCAGACUGGGACUAUGGUGCUGGAGAGGCUGUCCUGCCCUUGUCUCCAUCCCGGAGUUCCAGCUACUCUGUGACCCCCAGAAGUGGCCGGUGGUGCAGGUUGUACUAGUGGGUCUCUGCUCCCAGUCUCUUCUCUGUGCCCGCCGUGGUGGCCUACUGGGAUGGCACAGAGAGCUUUUCUUUCGGUUGCAGAACAGCCUGGAACAUGACAUGCUAGAUCAAUGUCCAUACACAUCCACAGAAAUAAAUGAAUGUUCCCUC